AUGGCCUGGAGGAGGUGCUGGCCGUAGAAAGACUGUAGUCACACAUGAGUCCAGAUUCUACCCAGGACGCACCUAUGAGUUGAAGAGGUAGCCACCCCCAUCUCCCAAAGGGGACACUGAAAUCCUGGACUCAGAGGAACGGAAUGACGUGAAGAGAAUUUGGAAAUGGUUACCGAACGUGACCCCUAACGAAGACCACAUGGAUGGCAACAAAGACCAGAUAGAUGAAUCCACAGACCCUGAGGUCUUGCUGCCUAUCUGUCUUUUGAGACCAGAACAAUUGUGAGGCUUCCCAGGGCCUCUGAGCAGCAUCAGGAAACUGACGGUGACAUCAGUCUUUGAACUUUCUUCUUCAGACGAGCUAUGGUGCUUUUUUUUUGAUGGCCCUGGUGGCAAACCCACACAGAUCAAAUGAAUGACCUGCUUUGAUCACCCAUACCAGCGUGGGAAGACUGACUGACUGAACUCAUGCUUUCACCGUGGCCCAGGAGACUCACAACAGCCACUGUUUCAUUCCUUAAUGAACAAAGAGAAGGAUUUCUUU